rnacentral:misc_RNA from 1 species
UCAAACUUGGUCAUUUAGAGGAAGUAAAAGUCGUAACAAGGUCUCCGUAGGUGAACCUGCGGAGGGAUCAGUAUAGAACCGUCCAUUGACGUGUCCGUGGAAUCGUGGGCGUGGAUCGGCCUCGGCCGAACGAAAAUCAGGGGUACGUGAGUCUGAAUCCAGAGAAAAUCAAAACUUUCAACAACGGAUCUCUUGGCUCUUGCAUCGAUGAAGAACGCAGC